UUUGGGCAGAUGAGGAAUCUCAUAACUUUAAUGGGUAAUUUGCAUUUGAAACACCUCAAUGAUGUUACCUAUCAUCAUGUUGGAGAUCUGAUGCCCCUU